CAGUCAUAACACUUUCAAACAUCAGUUCUCAUACGACCGCCGAAGUUAAGUAACGUUGUGCCUGGUCACUACCUAGAUGAGUAACCGCUUAGAAAUACCAGGUGCUGUAAG